GAUGAACGCUGGCGGCGUGCCUAAUACAUGCAAGUCGAGCGAACAGACGAGGAGCUUGCUCCUCGGACGUUAGCGGCGGACGGGUGAGUAACACGUGGAUAACCUACCUAUAAGACUGGGAUAACUUGGGGAAACCGGAGCUAAUCCCGGAUAAUAUAUUGAAGCGCAUGGUUCAAUAGAGAGAGACGGUGUUGCUGUCAGGUAUAGAGGGAUACGCGCCGCAUUAGCUAGUUGGUAAGGUAACGGGUUACGAAGGCAACGAGGCGUAUGCGACGUCAUAGGGUGAUCGGCCACCUGGGAACGGAGCCACGGUCCAGACGCCUACGGUAGGGCGCAGUCUGCAACCGUCCGCAAUGGUCGAGAACAUUACGGAGCAGCGCCGCGUCAGUGACGACGGUCUUCGGAGCGUAAUACUCUCUUACUAGUGAUAAACAAAUUUGUACGGUACUAUGCCCGUCUUGACGGUACUUAAUCAGAAAGCCACGGCUAACUACGUG
rnacentral:rRNA from 1 species